rnacentral:rRNA from 1 species
GAUGAACGCUGGCGGCGUGCCUAAUACAUGCAAGUCGAACGAGGAGUCUUUGUAGCAAUACGAGGGCUUCCUAGUGGCGAACGGGUGAGUAACGCGUUGGUGACCUGCCCCAAAGUGUGGGAUAACAGACCGAAAGGUUUGCUAAUACCGCAUGUGGUCAUGAGGUUUAGAUGCCUUAUGUCGAAAGGAGUAAUCCGCUUUGGGAGGGACCUGCGUCCCAUCAGCUAGUUGGUAGGGUAACGGCCUACCAAGGCUUCGGACGGGUAGGGGCCUGACGAGGGUGGCCCCCCA